AGAGUUUGAUCCUGGCUCAGGAUGAACGCUGGCGGCGUGCCUAAUACAUGCAAGUCGAACGGUGCGAAAGCACAGUGGCGACCGGGUGCGUAACACGUAGAUAACCUGCCCCUCAGCGGGGGACAACUGCUGGAAACGGCAGCUAAUACCGCAUGGAGUCAUCGGAUGUGAAGGCUGAUGAUGAAACUUCCGGGGCUGAG
rnacentral:rRNA from 1 species